GACGAACCGUGCGAACGUUAUUCGGAAUCACUGGGCUUAAAGCGCGUGUAGGCGGAUGGGUGCGUCGGCUUCUGAAAGCCCCCGGCUCAACCGGGGAAGUGGGGCCGAAACGACCCGUCUGGAGGGACGUAGGGGGAUCUGGAACUUCCGGUGGAGCGGUGAAAUGCGUUGAGAUCGGAAGGAACGCCCGUGGCGAAAGCGAAGAUCCUGGACGUCUUCUGACGCUGAGACGCGAAAGCUGAGGGGAGCAAACGGG
rnacentral:rRNA from 1 species